AGGCGAUGAAGGACGUGCUAAUCUGCGAUAAGCGUCGGUGAGGUGAUAUGAACCGUUAUAACCGGCGAUUUCCGAAUGGGGAAACCCAGUGUGUUUCGACACACUAUCAUUAACUGAAUCCAUAGGUUAAUGAGGCGAACCGGGGGAACUGAAACAUCUAAGUACCCCGAGGAAAAGAAAUCAACCGAGAUUCCCCCAGUAGCGGCGAGCGAACGGGGAGGAGCCCAGAGCCUGAAUCAGUGUGUGUGUUAGUGGAAGCGUCUGGAAAGGCGCGCGAUACAGGGUGACAGCCCCGUACACAAAAAUGCACAUGCUGUGAGCUCGAUGAGUAGGGCGGGACACGUGGUAUCCUGUCUGAAUAUGGGGGGACCAUCCUCCAAGGCUAAAUACUCCUGACUGACCGAUAGUGAACCAGUACCGUGAGGGAAAGGCGAAAAGAACCCCGGAGAGGGGAGUGAAAUAGAUCCUGAAACCGUGUGCGUACAAGCAGUAGGAGCCUCGCAAGGGGUGACUGAGUACCUUUUGUAUAAUGGGUCAGCGACUUAUAUUCUGUAGCAAGGUUAACCGUAUAGGGGAGCCGAAGGGAAACCGAGUCUUAACUGGGCGUUAAGUUGCAGGGUAUAGACCCGAAACCCGGUGAUCUAGCCAUGGGCAGGUUGAAGGUUGGGUAACACUAACUGGAGGACCGAACCGACUAAUGUUGAAAAAUUAGCGGAUGACUUGUGGCUGGGGGUGAAAGGCCAAUCAAACCGGGAGAUAGCUGGUUCUCCCCGAAAGCUAUUUAGGUAGCGCCUCGUGAACUCAUCUUCGGGGGUAGAGCACUGUUUCGGCUAGGGGGUCAUCCCGACUUACCAACCCGAUGCAAACUACGAAUACCGAAGAAUGUUAUCACGGGAGACACACGGCGGGUGCUAACGUCCGUCGUGAAGAGGGAAACAACCCAGACCGCCAGCUAAGGUCCCAAAGUCAUGGUUAAGUGGGAAACGAUGUGGGAAGGCAUAGACAGCUAGGAGGUUGGCUUAGAAGCAGCCACCCUUUAAAGAAAGCGUAAUAGCUCACUAGUCGAGUCGGCCUGCGCGGAAGAUGUAACGGGGCUAAACUGUGCACCGAAGCUGCGGCAGCGACACUAUGUGUUGUUGGGUAGGGGAGCGUUCUGUAAGCCUGCGAAGGUGUGCUGUGAGGCAUGCUGGAGGUAUCAGAAGUGCGAAUGCUGACAUAAGUAACGAUAAAGCGGGUGAAAAGCCCGCUCGCCGGAAGACCAAGGGUUCCUGUCCAACGUUAAUCGGGGCAGGGUGAGUCGACCCCUAAGGCGAGGCCGAAAGGCGUAGUCGAUGGGAAACAGGUUAAUAUUCCUGUACUUGGUGUUACUGCGAAGGGGGGACGGAGAAGGCUAUGUUGGCCGGGCGACGGUUGUCCCGGUUUAAGCGUGUAGGCUGGGUUUCCAGGCAAAUCCGGAAAACCAAGGCUGAGGCGUGAUGACGAGGCACUACGGGGCUGAAGCAACAAAUGCCCUGCUUCCAGGAAAAGCCUCUAAGCAUCAGGUAACAUCAAAUCGUACCCCAAACCGACACAGGUGGUCAGGUAGAGAAUACCAAGGCGCUUGAGAGAACUCGGGUGAAGGAACUAGGCAAAAUGGUGCCGUAACUUCGGGAGAAGGCACGCUGAUAUGUAGGUGAAGCGACUUGCUCGUGGAGCUGAAAUCAGUCGAAGAUACCAGCUGGCUGCAACUGUUUAUUAAAAACACAGCACUGUGCAAACACGAAAGUGGACGUAUACGGUGUGACGCCUGCCCGGUGCCGGAAGGUUAAUUGAUGGGGUUAGCGGUAACGCGAAGCUCUUGAUCGAAGCCCCGGUAAACGGCGGCCGUAACUAUAACGGUCCUAAGGUAGCGAAAUUCCUUGUCGGGUAAGUUCCGACCUG
rnacentral:rRNA from 1 species